rnacentral:rRNA from 1 species
UUCGUGUGAACAGUGGUUGAUCACGAGUUAGUCGGUCCUAAGUUCAAGGCGAAAGCCGAAAAUUUUCAAGUAAUAUUAUUUAUUUAAUCAUGAUAAUUUAUAUAUAAUAUAUAUAUAUUUUUUGACUAUAUUUUUAUUAAACACUUGAAUAAUUUUGAACGAAAGGGAAUACGGUUCCAAUUCCGUAACCUGUUGAGUAUCCGUUUGUUAUUAAAUAUGGGCCUCGUGCUCAUCCUGGUAACAGGAACGACCAUAAAGAAGCCGUCGAGAGAUAUCGGAAGAGUUUUCUUUUCUGUUUUAUAGCCGUACUACCAUGGAAGUCUUUCGCAGAGAGAUAUGGUAGAUGGGCUAGAAGAGCAUGACAUAUACUGUUGUGUCGAUAUUUUCUCCUCGGACCUUGAAAAUUUAUGGUGGGGAUACGCAAACUUCUCAACAGGCCGUACCAAUAUCCGCAGCUGGUCUCCAAGGUGAAGAGUCUCUAGUCGAUAGAAUA